rnacentral:rRNA from 1 species
UUAAGCGACUAAGCGUACACGGUGGAUGCCCUGGCAGUCAGAGGCGAUGAAGGACGUGCUAAUCUGCGAUAAGCGUCGGUGAGGUGAUAUGAACCGUUAUAACCGGCGAUUUCCGAAUGGGGAAACCCAGUGUGUUUCGACACACUAUCAUUAACUGAAUCCAUAGGUUAAUGAGGCGAACCGGGGGAACUGAAACAUCUAAGUACCCCGAGGAAAAGAAAUCAACCGAGAUUCCCCCAGUAGCGGCGAGCGAACGGGGAGGAGCCCAGAGCCUGAAUCAGUGUGUGUGUUAGUGGAAGCGUCUGGAAAGGCGCGCGAUACAUGGUGACAGCCCCGUACACAAAAAUGCACAUAUUGUGAGCUCGAUGAGUAGGGCGGGACACGUGGUAUCCUGUCUGAAUAUGGGGGGACCAUCCUCCAAGGCUAAAUACUCCUGACUGACCGAUAGUGAACCAGUACCGUGAGGGAAAGGCGAAAAGAACCCCGGCGAGGGGAGUGAAAAAGAACCUGAAACCGUGUACGUACAAGCAGUGGGAGCCUCUUAAUGGGGUGACUGCGUACCUUUUGUAUAAUGGGUCAGCGACUUAUAUUCUGUAGCAAGGUUAACCGAAUAGGGGAGCCGAAGGGAAACCGAGUCUUAACUGGGCGUUAAGUUGCAGGGUAUAGACCCGAAACCCGGUGAUCUAGCCAUGGGCAGGUUGAAGGUUGGGUAACACUAACUGGAGGACCGAACCGACUAAUGUUGAAAAAUUAGCGGAUGACUUGUGGCUGGGGGUGAAAGGCCAAUCAAACCGGGAGAUAGCUGGUUCUCCCCGAAAGCUAUUUAGGUAGCGCCUCGUGAAUUCAUCUCCGGGGGUAGAGCACUGUUUCGGCAAGGGGGUCAUCCCGACUUACCAACCCGAUGCAAACUGCGAAUACCGGAGAAUGUUAUCACGGGAGACACACGGCGGGUGCUAACGUCCGUCGUGAAGAGGGAAACAACCCAGACCGCCAGCUAAGGUCCCAAAGUCAUGGUUAAGUGGGAAACGAUGUGGGAAGGCCCAGACAGCCAGGAUGUUGGCUUAGAAGCAGCCAUCAUUUAAAGAAAGCGUAAUAGCUCACUGGUCGAGUCGGCCUGCGCGGAAGAUGUAACGGGGCUAAACCAUGCACCGAAGCUGCGGCAGCGACACUAUGUGUUGUUGGGUAGGGGAGCGUUCUGUAAGCCUGUGAAGGUGGCCUGUGAGGGUUGCUGGAGGUAUCAGAAGUGCGAAUGCUGACAUAAGUAACGAUAAAGCGGGUGAAAAGCCCGCUCGCCGGAAGACCAAGGGUUCCUGUCCAACGUUAAUCGGGGCAGGGUGAGUCGACCCCUAAGGCGAGGCCGAAAGGCGUAGUCGAUGGGAAACAGGUUAAUAUUCCUGUACUUGGUGUUACUGCGAAGGGGGGACGGAGAAGGCUAUGUUGGCCGGGCGACGGUUGUCCCGGUUUAAGCGUGUAGGCUGGUUUUCCAGGCAAAUCCGGAAAAUCAAGGCUGAGGCGUGAUGACGAGGCACUACGGUGCUGAAGGACAAAUGCCCUGCUUCCAGGAAAAGCCUCUAAGCAUCAGGUAACAUCAAAUCGUACCCCAAACCGACACAGGUGGUCAGGUAGAGAAUACCAAGGCGCUUGAGAGAACUCGGGUGAAGGAACUAGGCAAAAAUGGUGCCGUAACUUCGGGAGAAGGCACGCUGAUAUGUAGGUGAAGCGACUUGCUCGUGGAGCUGAAAUCAGUCGAAGAUACCAGCUGGCUGCAACUGUUUAUUAAAAACACAGCACUGUGCAAACACGAAAGUGGACGUAUACGGUGUGACGCCUGCCCGGUGCCGGAAGGUUAAUUGAUGGGGUUAGCGGCAACGCGAAGCUCUUGAUCGAAGCCCCGGUAAACGGCGGCCGUAACUAUAACGGUCCUAAGGUAGCGAAAUUCCUUGUCGGGUAAGUUCCGACCUGCACGAAUGGCGUAAUGAUGGCCAGGCUGUCUCCACCCGAGACUCAGUGAAAUUGAACUCGCUGUGAAGAUGCAGUGUACCCGCGGCAAGACGGAAAGACCCCGUGAACCUUUACUAUAGCUUGACACUGAACAUUGAGCCUUGAUGUGUAGGAUAGGUGGGAGGCUUUGAAGUGUGGACGCCAGUCUGCAUGGAGCCGACCUUGAAAUACCACCCUUUAAUGUUUGAUGUUCUAACGUUGGCCCGUAAUCCGGGUUGCGGACAGUGUCUGGUGGGUAGUUUGACUGGGGCGGUCUCCUCCUAAAGAGUAACGGAGGAGCACGAAGGUUGGCUAAUCCUGGUCGGACAUCAGGAGGUUAGUGCAAUGGCAUAAGCCAGCUUGACUGCGAGCGUGACGGCGCGAGCAGGUGCGAAAGCAGGUCAUAGUGAUCCGGUGGUUCUGAAUGGAAGGGCCAUCGCUCAACGGAUAAAAGGUACUCCGGGGAUAACAGGCUGAUACCGCCCAAGAGUUCAUAUCGACGGCGGUGUUUGGCACCUCGAUGUCGGCUCAUCACAUCCUGGGGCUGAAGUAGGUCCCAAGGGUAUGGCUGUUCGCCAUUUAAAGUGGUACGCGAGCUGGGUUUAGAACGUCGUGAGACAGUUCGGUCCCUAUCUGCCGUGGGCGCUGGAGAACUGAGGGGGGCUGCUCCUAGUACGAGAGGACCGGAGUGGACGCAUCACUGGUGUUCGGGUUGUCAUGCCAAUGGCACUGCCCGGUAGCUAAAUGCGGAAGAGAUAAGUGCUGAAAGCAUCUAAGCACGAAACUUGCCCCGAGAUGAGUUCUCCCUGACCCUUUAAGGGUCCUGAAGGAACGUUGAAGACGACGACGUUGAUAGGCCGGGUGUGUAAGCGCAGCGAUGCGUUGAGCUAACCGGUACUAAUGAACCGUGAGGCUUAACCUU